UCUUAUUACAAAUAAACCUUGAAAAAGUGUAAUGUAAAAAUUAAAAUGACAAAUGUAGGACUGUGUAAGUAGUUUCUACUGUGAGUUCUACUGUAGUGUAAUUCUACUACUGUAAUUUCAAGUUUCUACUUGUGAUUUCCAGCAAAAUGACUGGAUGUGAGAGAGUUUAACGACAGGAAAGAUGGAGCAGUGAGAGCAGAGAUCUCUCAGAAUUCUGAAAACAGAUCGACGAAGUUCUGGUAACUUCAAUUCCAAAAACUUAGAUUCUGGUAAAACUUGAUUUCAAGUCACAGGAUUGCGUUUCAACUCAGGUUCAAGCUUGUCAACUUAGAUAGAGCUCAUGGCGGAGAAAUGAUAGAAGAUAGAAUGGCUUGUCAAAAAAGAUGGAGCAGGGAGAGGGAGAGUGAUAGGACAGACUGAAUUGCUUGUUAAUGAUAGAGGGAGAGGGUUU
ensembl:lncRNA